rnacentral:rRNA from 1 species
GACGAACGCUGGCGGCGUGCCUAAUACAUGCAAGUAGAACGCUGAAGGCGGAGCUUGCUUCUCCGGAUGAGUUGCGAACGGGUGAGUAACGCGUAGGUAACCUGCCUGGUAGCGGGGGAUAACUAUUGGAAACGAUAGCUAAUACCGCAUAAGAGUAGAUGUCGCAUGACAUUUGCUUAAAAGGUGCAACUGCACCACUACCAGAUGGACCUGCGUUGUAUUAGGUAGUUGGUGAGGUAACGGCUCACCAAGGCAACGAUACAUAGCAGACCUGGGAGGGUGAUCGGCCACACUGGGAGUGGGACACGGCCCAGAUUCCUACGGGAGGGAGCAGUAGGGAAUCUUCGGCAAUGGAAGGAAGUCUGACCGAGCAACGCCGCGUGAGUGAAGAGGGUUUUCGGAUCGUAAAGCGCUGUUGUAAGAGAAGAAGGAGUGUGGGGGUGGAAAGGUCACACUGUGACGGUAUCUUACCAGAAAGGGACGGCUAACUACGUG